rnacentral:tRNA from 1 species
GCGGAUGUGGUGAAAUUGGUAUACACGCAGCGUUCAGGUCGCUGUGGGGGCAACCCCGUGGAGGUUCGAGUCCUCUCAUCCGCA